UCUAUGGGAAGACAAAAGACAACAUGUCGAAUUAAAACAUCUUAGUAAUCAGAGGAAAAUAAAGCAAAAGUGAAUUUCUUGGUAGCGAUGAGCGAAUUGGAAGCAGCCUAAACCGUAAUAA
rnacentral:rRNA from 1 species